UUUUCCCGCCAUUUUUUUCAAUUUCUUCAUCUUCAUAUGAAACCCGAUGCGGGAUCCAUUUACACUAUUCGGGUCAUUUGGGUACUUCCAUAUUUAAAGCUCGAAACCGUUGAUUUGUUUCAAUUCUCUCUCUCUUCUUUCAUACGUUUCUCUCUUUUCCUUCUGCAUCUCUCAAUAUGCUCUUGGAGACAUCUUCAAUAUCAAGAUCGGAAGUUGCGGCAGAUGCAGAGUGUUUUACAAGAGGUUUCUCAAGCCUCUCUCCCUCUGCUCUCUACUCUUCAUAGAUCUGCAUAUAAUCCAUCCGAUUCAAGGUUAGAUCUAUGUUUUUCUAGGGUUCCAUAACAAUCGAUCUGAUUACAACUACAUCAAGGUGAGUCGAUUCUUGGCUUGAAACAGUGAUCUACCUUCGUUUGAAAAUGUAACGUUGCUUGACUUAUCUAAAUCUGUUAUUUUUCAUCAUCUGAAUCGAUAAACUGUUGAUUUGAUUUACAAUAACCCAUCGGUGAUUAAUUUGUUUUUUUUGGAUCUUCUAAAUGUUUGUUGAGAUGUAUGAUUAGUUUUUCAAGUUUCUGCACUAUUGGCCUUCCAAUCAGAAUGUCAACGAGAACUCUUAUUAUUAGCAGCUCUUACAUUUGAUUCUCUUGAAAUAUGAAAAAACCCAUUAAUGGAUAGCAUCAACAACCAGUGUUUACACUGUAUAUAUAUAUAGGUGGUUCUCACUAUUGUCGAUUUUGUUCGAGCGAGUUUGACUUCCCAUGGGGACUAUCAGCAACACUCUUGGAGUUUGGUAAUAUCAAGUCUCCAAUGUACUCAAGACUUCCUCAGUAUUGACACCACUGCUGCCAUUGGUGAUCGAUGACGGUAGUUGAGUCGAGUAGAAGAUCAAGUGUGGUUCAAGCAACACUAUCGGAGAGAUGUGGGUAUCAUUCACAGGGAAUUCCGACUCUUUUUUUCGACGCCAUCAAUUACCUAAUUCACAUGAAAAAUCUAUGGAUCAAGGUUCUAAGUUUCUAUUAAAUACUCUAGAAAGGUCCCUCUUGCGGGUUAGAUUACGGCUCGGAUUCUUGGUUAGCUUGCAACUGACAUUUCAUGGAUCAGAUCGCCACAUGGAGUUUUAGUCAGCUGUAACGAUUCAGGAGUUUUGGUCAGCUGUAUCGGGUCAGGUUACAUAUUAGUUGCAACUAUCAUCCUAAUACAUAUUCAGCAAGUACAUUGAAAUUCGGGUGGCCGCAGGCAGUCAAUUUUAAUCAUCUGCGCUAUUACUAUGCAACUAUUUUUGCUUCAAGGAUUAAGGCUCUUGAUGUUUGAUUUUGGAGUUAUACGUGCAAUUUUUGCUUGCAAUUUAGUUUAAGAAACCUUUAAAAACUAAAGGUUGGCUUGGUUUACGGGCUGAUAUCGACCAUUGUUCUAAGUUUCUAUUAAAUAGUCUAGAAAGGUCCCUCUUGCGGGUUAGACCACGGGUUGGAUUCUUGGUUAGCUUGCAGCUGACAUUUCAUGGAUCAGAUCGCCACAUAGAGUUCUGGUCAACUGUAACGAUUCAGGAGUUUUGGUUAGAUGUAUCGGGUCAGAUUACAUAUUAGUUGUAACUAUCAUCCUAAUACAUAUUCAGCAAGUACAUUGAAACAUUCAGGUAAAGGGUAAAUAUAGGGGUUGCUGGUUCAUCUUGAAUGAGAGGCGAAGUUUUACUAAUUAUUUCACUGUCGUGCCUUGGGACGGCUGGAUUUCGGGUUUCGGCGUAUCUGGAAGAGCCAAGAGGCUGGCGGCGGUUGAGUAGUCGACCUUGGCCACAACGACCGGUGUCACGGUGAUUGGCGCGUCGUUCAUAUCGUUCAAAAAAAAACCUAUAUUCACUAAUCUUAAAAGUCAGAGUUGUAUAUAUUAGUAUUUU